AUAACUGACGCUUCAAAUUUUCUGUAUCGUUUAUUUUUUAAAUAUUCUCUAAUAAAAUUUAAAUCUGAUAUGCCCUUUAUUUAAGGACUUUAAAUUGAUUUUUAAAACAGGGGAAUGGAAUUGGAACUUGCUUUGUCCACCCCAUGCAUUGACCUGGUAUUGCAAUAUCUCCAGGAACCGUGCAUCUCCU
rnacentral:snRNA from 1 species